rnacentral:rRNA from 1 species
GACGAACGCUGGCGGCGUGCCUAAUACAUGCAAGUCGAACGCUGAAGAGAGGAGCUUGCUCUUCUUGGAUGAGUUGCGAACGGGUGAGUAACGCGUAGGUAACCUGCCUUGUAGCGGGGGAUAACUAUUGGAAACGAUAGCUAAUACCGCAUAACAAUGGAUGACACAUGUCAUUUAUUUGAAAGGGGCAAUUGCUCCACUACAAGAUGGACCUGCGUUGUAUUAGCUAGUAGGUGAGGUAAUGGCUCACCUAGGCGACGAUACAUAGCCGACCUGAGAGGGUGAUCGGCCACACUGGGACUGAGACACGGCCCAGACCCCUACGGGAGGCAGCAGUAGGGAAUCUUCGGCAAUGGGGGCAAACCUGACCGAGCAACGCCGCGUGAGUGAAGAAGGGUUUCGGAUCGUAAAGCUCUGUUGUAAGUCAAGAACGGGUGUGAGAGUGGAAAGUUCACACUGUGACGGUAGCUUACCAGAAAGGGACGGCUAACUACGUG